AACGAACGCUGGCGGCGCGCCUAACACAUGCAAGUCGUACGUGAAAGGGGGCAACCCUGAGUAAAGUGGCGCACGGGUGAGUAAUACGUAAGUCAUCUACCUUUGUGACCGGAAUAACCAGUCGAAAGACUGGCUAAUACUGGAUAGUGCGCAUAGUUUGUAAGGAAUUAUGCGGGAAAGGGUGGCAGACUUCGGUCUGCUAUCGUGCAAAGAUGAGCUUGCGUCCCAUUAGCUAGUUGGUAAGGUAAUGGCUUACCAAGGCGAUGAUGGGUAGCUGGUCUGAGAGGACGAUCAGCCACACUGGAACUGAAACACGGUCCAGACUCCUACGGGAGGCAGCAGUGGGGAAUUUUGCACAAUGGGCGAAAGCCUGAUGCAGCGACGCCGCGUGGGUGAAGAAGGCCU
rnacentral:rRNA from 1 species